AAACAUAGAUGGCUUCUCCUCUUUAUUGAUGUUUUUUGUUGAAGAUGUGUAAAAGUUGAGAAGCACCAGAGAUAGGAGUCCAUCGAAAAAAUAUAAAUAUUUUGUAAGUUUCACAGAUUUAAAGGGCUAUGAUAAAGACUGGGUUUUGAGAAAAUGAGAUUAACAAAAUGCAGAUGCUUUGACUGUUUUGUCCAAAAUUCAUUAAAUAGAACCUCAUGAAGGGUGAUUUCCUUUCUUCAGGGACCUUUCAUACAAUAAUUUCUCGGGAGAUCUACCAAGAUCAUUUGGUUCCUUGACAAACCUUGCUAGAUUGUUCUUGCAGAAUAACAGAUUCACUGGAUCAGUCACCUACCUGGCGGAACUUCCACUUACAGAUUUGAACAUUCAAGAUAAUAUGUUUAGUGGCCUUCUUCCACAUCAUUUUCAG